ensembl:snoRNA
GCCGAGACUAGAGUCACAUCUGGACACCGCCUGUUGUCCUGGUGUGCUAGAGUACUCGGACAGUAACCACUAAUCUAUAUUCACUGGCUGUGACCGAUCUUGACUCAGUCAGUCACCAGGUUAGUGACAGGA